rnacentral:rRNA from 1 species
UACGGAGGGUGCAAGCGUUGUUCGGAAUUAUUGGGCGUAAAGCGCGUGUAGGCGGCUAUUUAAGUCUGAUGUGAAAGCCCGGGGCUCAACCUCGGAAGUGCAUUGGAAACUGGAUAGCUUGAGUAUAGGAGAGGUAAGCGGAAUUCCUAGUGUAGCGGUGAAAUGCGUAGAUAUUAGGAGGAACACCAGUGGCGAAGGCGGCUUACUGGACCGAUACUGACGCUGAGACGCGAAAGCGUGGGGAG